rnacentral:RNase_P_RNA from 1 species
GCAGUGCUCUGGUCUUAUCGCUGGUGAUGAAACAAGCACGAGAGGAAAGUCCGGGCAGCAAAGAGCGCUCCACUUGCGAAAAUACAAGUAGCUGGUGACAGUUAGCACAAGGCAGAAGAAAAUAACCGCUUUCUUUUGAAGGAAGUAAGGGUGAGAAGGUGGUGUAAGAGACCACCAGGCAUUUGGUGACAAAUGUGCUGUGUCUGCUGGAGGCUGCAAGUUCAAGUAUACCAUCGUCAUGACAGGGCUGCUCGCCCGACGGGAGUUUGCUCCCCACGAUGGAGGGUAGAAUGCUGGAGCCGUAUGGCGACAUGCGGAGUAGAUAAAUGAUAAGACGCCGUCAGCAAUGGCGGAACAGAACCCGGCUUAUAGGAGCACUGCCUUU